rnacentral:lncRNA from 1 species
UGCUUGUUUAUGGAUGUACAUUUCCCAAUUUGUGUGUUUAUUACUUAUUUUACAGCAAGAAGUCAUCAAACAGCAAUUAUUACAGCAGCCCGUACCCUGCUGAGGAGUUCCGGGCCACGUGGCCCUCUCAGAACGUAACCCAUAUUCCUCGUGCCACUCUGGCAUCUAGUUCCAGCAUUGAUGCCACUGGCAACAGUCUAGAGAUGGCUGAAGGGCCAGGCAGGAAAGGCCACAGUAAUGGAUUGUCGGGCUCGUAUGACCUCAGAACAGAUGGCAUGAGGACCUUUAAGGACAUAAACCCCACACGGUACUCUUAUCUGAUGGGUCAUGAAAACCCCUACUUCACACAAGGAAAUGAGAAGAGAUGAGGAAAACAGCAGAGAAAUCCAGUGAGAAGUAAGAGGACAAGAAAAGAGUGCAAUAACAACAUGAAUUAUAAAAAGGCCUUGGAUCAAAAUGUUUCAGGAACGUUAACACUGUCAAAACCAAACAGCUGAUCACAGACUCAAAGAAUAUACACAAACGGAAUUUGAGAGAUAAUUAUAUAUAUAUAUAUAUAUAUAUGUGUGUGUGUGUGUGUGUAUUUUACAGUUUUUAUUCCAAAUCUCUUUCACCCAGGAUAAAAUGCUCACUUCCUAAAAGUGCAUUGAUGAUUGGGUUCUUCCACCACAAGCUUGAUAAACAUGUCCUGUGUAUGACAAUGUGUUCUGUGUAUGACAAUGUUAGAUGAACACUCAACCACUCAUCUGUUGAUACAGUAUCUGUAUUUAUUAGUUUAUUUGUUUGUUUGUUUGUUUUGUCACUUCUUAUGUUUUGUCUGCACAUUUUAUAUUCAGAGUUUUUUUAUAUGACAGAGAUCAUGCAUAU